rnacentral:miRNA from 1 species
UGGCAGUGAGCUAUCGUAGC